rnacentral:rRNA from 1 species
UACGGGGGGGGCAAGCGUUGUUCGGAAUUACUGGGCGUAAAGGGCUCGUAGGCGGCCAACUAAGUCAGACGUGAAAUCCCUCGGCUUAACCGGGGAACUGCGUCUGAUACUGGAUGGCUUGAAUCCGGGAGAGGGAUGCGGAAUUCCAGGUGUAGCGGUGAAAUGCGUAGAUAUCGUAAGGAACACCAGAGGCGAAGGCGGCUACCUGGACAAUUGCUGACGCUCAGGCACGAAAGCGUGGGGAGCAAAAGGG